GACGAACGCNGGCGGCGUGCUUAACACAUGCAAGUCGAACGGGAUAAUUUGAGAGCUUGCUCUUAGAGAAUCUAGUGGCAAACGGGUGAGUAACACGUAGACAACCUGCCGACAGGAUGGGGACAACAUUCCGAAAGGAAUGCUAAUACCGAAUGAAGUCGAGGGAGGGCAUCCUCCUUCGAUGAAAGAUGGCCUCUAUUUAUAAGCUAUCACCUGUCGAUGGGUCUGCGUCUGAUUAGCUGGUUGGUGAGGUAACUGCUCACCAAGGCGACGAUCAGUAGCCGGUCUGAGAGGAUGAACGGCCACAUUGGGACUGAGACACGGCCCAGACUCCUACGGGAGGCAGCAGUGGGGAAUCUUCCGCAAUGGGCGCAAGCCUGACGGAGCAACGCCGCGUGAGUGAAGAAGGUCUUCGGAUCGUAAAGCUCUGUUGACGGGGACGAACGUACGGAGUGCGAAUAGUGCUCNGUAANGACGG
rnacentral:rRNA from 1 species